ACGGAAGGCAGCAGUGGGGGAUAUUGCACAAUGGGGGAAACCCUGGUGCAGCGACGCCGCGUGAGUGAAGAAGUAUUUCGGUAUGUAAAGCUCUAUCAGCAGGGAAGAAAAUGACGGUACCUGACUAAGAAGCUCCGGCUAAAUACGUGCCAGCAGCCGCGGUAAUACGUAUGGAGCAAGCGUUAUCCGGAUUUACUGGGUGUAAAGGGAGCGUAGACGGCGAGGCAAGUCUGAUGUGAAAGCUAUGGGCUCAACCCAUAAACUGCAUUGGAAACUGUCUUGCUUGAGUGUCGGAGAGGUAAGCGGAAUUCCUAGUGUAGCGGUGAAAUGCGUAGAUAUUAGGAGGAACACCAGUGGCGAAGGCGGCUUACUGGACGAUAACUGACGUUGAGGCUCGAAAGCGUGGGGAGCAAACAGGAUUAGAUACCCUGGUA
rnacentral:rRNA from 1 species